rnacentral:rRNA from 1 species
AGGGGAAAAAUUAAAAAAUUAUAAUUAAUAAAAAAAAUUUUAAAAUAAAAAUAUGGGGUUGGAGUAUUUUUAAUAGAAAAAAUUAAAAAUUUUAUAGUAAAUUAGUAUUGUAAAAGAAAUUUGAAAUAAAUGAAAAUAAAAUUAAGAAAAAGUAAAUUUGAUUAAUUGUAUCUUGUGUAUCAGAGUUUAUUAAAUAAAUUUAUUUAUAGAAAUAAAUCUCGAAUUUAAAAGAGAUAAUUAAUUAAAAAAGUUAAUGUAGCAUAAUUAUUUUAAAUAAUUAAUUAGCAAUGAAAUGUUAAUCGUUUUUAAAUAUAUCUAGUUUUUUUAGAAAUAAAUUUAAUUUAAAAUUUAAUUAAAAUAAUAAUUUUUUAAAAAAUUAUUAUUAAAUUAAAUUAAAUAUUAAAAGGGAUAAGCUUUUUAAUAAAAUUUUAUAAGUUAAAUUAAAUGAAAUUAAAAUUUUUAAAAUUUAAAUUGUUUAAAAAUUUUAAUUUUUUAUAAAAAAUUUUAAUUAAAAUAAAAUUUUAUAAAAAAUUAAAUUUAUAUAAAAAAAAAUUUUUUUUUUAUGAAAAAAUUGUUAUAAUGAUAAAAUUAGUAUAAAAUAUAAUAAUAAUGUAAAAUUAAAUAAAAUUAAAUAAAAGGAAUUCGGCAAAUAGGUAUAUUCACUUGUUUAUCAAAAACAUGUCUUUUUGAAAAUAAUUUAAAGUCUAAUCUGCCCACUGAUAUAUAAUAUUAAAGGGCUGCAGUAUAUUGACUGUACAAAGGUAGCAUAAUCAUUAGUCUUUUAAUUGAAGACUUGUAUGAAAGAUUUAAUGAAAUAUAAGCUGUCUUUUAUUUAUAAUUAGAAUUUAAUUUUUUAGUUAAAAAGCUAAAAUUAAUUUAAAAGACGAGAAGACCCUAUAGAGUUUAAUAAUUAAAUUAUUUAAGAUUUUAUAUAUAAAUUAUAAUUAAAAAAAAUUUAAUUAUUUUAUUGGGGUGAUAGAAAAAUUAAAUAAACUUUUUUUUUAUAAUUACAUGAAUAAGUGAAUUUAUGAUCCAUUAUUAAUGAUUAAAAGAUAAAAUUACCUUAGGGAUAACAGCGUAAUUUUUUUUUUUAGUUCGUAUAAAAAAAAGAGAUUGCGACCUCGAUGUUGGAUUAAAAUAAAAUAUAAAUGCAAAAGUUUAAAAUUUUGAUCUGUUCGAUCAUUAAAAUCUUACAUGAUCUGAGUUCAAACCGGGGUGAGCCAGGUUGGUUUCUAUCUUUAAAAAAAUAAAAUAUUUUAGUACGAAAGGAUCAAAUAUUUAAAAUAAUUUUAUAUUAAAAAUUUCAUUAAUUAAAUUAUAUAUAUAUAUAUAUAUAUAUAUAUAUAUAUAUA